rnacentral:lncRNA from 1 species
CAAAUCAGCAGAGGAAACUGAUGGCAGAAGUGGAUCAUUGCCCUUUAUGUCUCCACAGGAAAUCACUUAUUACCUAAAAAGUUGCUUGCAAAUGAGAAAGAUAAGCUCUUUUUGACUCCUAUUUAAAUAUUAUGCUAAACAGAAAAAGUUGAUAAUCUAUGUAUUGCUUGUUUUUAAAGAAAAGAUGGAAGCAUAUCACUUUUUGUUAAAUGCAUCUAUUGUGCAUUACACCCCUAGUAUAGAGAAAGCCCAUAUCAAGUCCAAGCAACAAUGAACAAAUAUAGUCAGAGCGUGUGGGAGCAGCUACCUAUAAAGAUUCUGUCCUCCCAGAGAACAUCCCAGGCAUGGAAGUGACACACUGCCUACCAACUGCCUACAUUUGAUUUUAUAAACAUCCUCUUUUCUGUGAGUAAACCAUGUAUGUUGGUUUCUUCUGUUAUUUUGUGUGCAAAUAGUCAUCAUUAAAACCUAUCUGUAAUUUCAGUGUGAGAAUACAGGUCUUUUCCAAAUAAGAAAGGGAAUAAAAAUUCAGAUUUGGAAACAUUCUAUAUAAAAUCUUGGGUCUCUGCUUGGGUAUAUACUAGAUGUUUAAACUUAGGAAAAUGAUUUAAUUUCUUGGAAGUUCUGACUUCUGAUCAGAAAAUGAAGAUAGUAACAUUUUGCAGAUGUUUUUGUGUUUUAUACAUGUAAAAUACUAACAUAGUACCAGUCACACGACAGACACUCAAUAAAUGAUAGCAAUUGUUUUCAUUGCUGCUACUGUUUUUAUCACAGGAUGAAAAACUUCCAUUUGUGCUUUACGCAAGGAUGCUCCCUUUCCAAACAGGCAAAAGAGUAAAAACGAUCCCCAUGACUUAUGAAAGACAGCUUUUUAAAGUGUAUUGGAGUCUCUACAAUGUACUUUUUAUGGUGAUCCUAACAGUUUUCUCAAGACAGACAUAAUGGAGAAUCUGCCGUAAUCUACCUCUACAUGACAACAGCUUGACCCUAGCAACUAACACAAUCCAUCACCUGCUGUCGAGCAACCAAGAGCAAGAAAAGAAGUGGUUAGAAAAGGUACCACCAGCUCUGGAGCUUUUAUGGUCAGUAAAGUAUGGAAGAACCAAAAUAGGCUCUCAAAGUAAAUCAGAGCACAGCAAAUACUUCUCUAAACCAAGUUCUGAUUUUAUACUAUAGGAGAGAAAAAAAAUGUUACAUUUGAAUAUAUUUUAUGACACUGUAAGUUAUGCCUGAGAGAAAAAUGUAUUUAAUAAUUUUUUGCAGUAAUCAAUAUAUAACUUAAGAUUCAGAAAUAUUUCCUUUGGAUACCUUUUUUUCCUUAAAAAUACAAAAAAAAAAAU